rnacentral:rRNA from 1 species
UACGUAGGGGGCAAGCGUUGUCCGGAUUUAUUGGGCGUAAAGAGCGUGUAGGCGGCCAGGUAGGUCUGCUGUGAAAACUCGAGGCUCAACCUCGAGAUGUCGGCGGAAACCAUCUGGCUAGAGUCCGGAAGAGGAGAGUGGAAUUCCUGGUGUAGCGGUGAAAUGCGCAGAUAUCAGGAAGAACACCUAUGGCGAAGGCAGCUCUCUGGGACGGUACUGACGCUGAGACGCGAAAGCGUGGGGAGCGAACAGG